AUUGGUCCAGGUAUCUGAUGAGUCAUAGGCAUUGAGGAAGGUGGCAUGUGAGGAGGCAUUUGCAUAGGCCGGGGAUGAUGAGGACGCAAUGGCAUAUGAGACGCUGGUGGUCGCUGAAGAUGAGGCAUGUUGGGCAUUGGAGGGAUUUGCUGAGGAUGAUGACCUUGGUGGUGGUGUUGUUGCUGAUACCCUUGCUGCUGGCUAUUUCCAAUAAGCGAUGGGUGGGGACCAGGUGGCAGCGGAGGAGCCAUACCGCCUGGAAGAGGUUGAUUAUGUUCCCCUUGUACGAUAUUAGAGCACUCCUAUUAGUAAAUUUAUGGAGGAGGGGUUCACACAGAUUCCAAAAAAAAAAAAAAUAUUAAAAUAAUAAAUAGUGAUUAAUUUGUCUCUUUCCACCUCUUCCUAGUGAACCGGGUUCAUCACUGUAGCGCCGUGGCGGUCCGCGAUUGGUCAGAUUAAUUAAAUUUUUUUUUUUUAAAAACAAAAAUCAAACAGAAAAAAAAUAUAAUAAAAAAAUACUUUGUGAAACUUUUCCGGUUCAUUAAUGAUUAAUGGGGGUGUUCUUAGACCUCUUCUUGGUUUUUUGUUCUUAUUACAUUAAAGGAGUGUUGGAGGCGCAAGCACGACUAAAGCGACACCGUUUCGAGCAAGGCGUGAAGGAAGGUAUGUCACUGGUAGACUACGACGAUUCUUCAUCCGACGACGAUGUCUUACCCGCGGCGGUGCACAAGGCAGCUCUGCCACAACCACCGCAACAAAAACCCUCUCCCUCGAAAUCACGGUGAGUGAGUUUAUUGUUUCCCAAAGCUUGGAUUUUUUCGAUGAUUAAUCGGUUGUAUAGUAUCCGGAAUCGUACUUCUUUGUAUCAUGUAUCUCCUUUUGUAAGCAGAGUAUGUGUUUCCGCUCGAAAGUGAAUUACUUUUGGUUGAUUCCGAUCUCACUAACACGAUCAAGCUCAAAGCUUUGUUCUUUUUAUUACAGUCUAAGUUGGUUUAGGUUGUAGUUGACCCUUUGUGUUUUUUUUUUUGUUAGGAGGUCUUUGAAUAAGAAGGAAGAAAGUGAGGGACUUCCUCAGCUACCAGAUGCGUUGCUUCUUCUGGAGUCACCAACGGUUACUCAUGUGAGUGGCGGUGGUGACCAUGCUUCCGUUGUUGCAGCUGCUAUGCGGAAACGAGACUUAAAUGGGAACUCUUCUUCUCUUCCUCGUCGUCCCAAGGUACCAAGAGGAGCUUUGCCUCACUCCAAGAAUAUUGUAGAAACUUCGGGUAACCUGCUUGUGCCUCCUCAGCUCAAAGGAAGGUUAGUCCAUGAUAUGUGACUUGUUUCAUCUUUUAUUUUUCAUUAUCUUUCUCAAAAACCCCAUAAAACUAGGGAGAAGGCUAUGAGUGUUACGAGCAAUCAUUCAAAGUUACACAAAUGCUCUCUAUGAGAGGGGACUUUACGCAUGAAAUGAGUUUUAUAAAGUUUUAAGAAUUGUUGACAUUGCGGGCAUCUUAAUGAGAAACUGGUUCUUGAAUUAUAUGCAAUGUCUUAUUUGAAACACUCUUGAUCGCCUAACGUGAUGUCUGCAGGAGCAAUGUUGCUACAGAAGAUAUGAGCAGGCUUUUUGUGAAGAAACGGCAAGAGUCCUCCAAGGCAACAUCUCCUAAUCAGGAUUAGUUUUUUUUUUCAAUUUUGAUUUUUGAAUGCUACCUAUAGUGUGGUAUCCUAGUUGGUGGGAAAUAAAAACAGAGCAUGGAACUUUACUUUCUUUCGUUUAUUUAUAACAUGACUACUAUUGUCUUUCUUAUACUUGGUUUGAUGACAUGUAGUUCUAAAAUUUACAUUUAUCAUGGCUUGAUAUAGGACAAUAAUUUUUUUUUGUAAACAGUGUGGUUUAGCCUAAAAAUGUAAACAUCAAUCUUUUUUUAGAUUAAAAAAACCUCUGAAACAUAGUUUUCUUCGAGUUUGUUAAACGAAAACUAAACUGAAAUGUGACAUUCGAAAGUCACUAAAACUUCACUACAGUAACUUGUUCAGCUAAAAGAACAUCAAAACAUCAACAGCAAAACCAUUCCACAGCGUUGAAUAAUCUUAAACAGAACUCCUUGUAAGAACUGGCCAAGUCUACAAACAAGAUAUGUACUGUUACAAUGAUGGUCUACUGAUGUUGCUGAUUGGUGUUUGGUGGAGGGCCUGCAGGUAAGGGCGGCGGCUGCUGCACACAGUAAAAAAUAAAGAGAAUGGAUUAGUCAGCGAGUUUCAUUCACCUCCAACAUCUAAUCAUACCGUAGAAACUACAAACCAAUCUUUACAUAUAAUUAUUUAAAACUGUAACGAGUAUACUAAAUAACAAUAGAAGAGUGUGUAGAGAGACCUGUUGAAAAGGGUUGUUGUACCCUUGCAUCAUCUGUGGACGAUUGAAACCACGUCCUUGGGGAUACAUUGGGGGUCCACCACUGCUUGGUGGUCCUGGAAAUGGACCCGAAGGAGCACCCAUAUAAUGGCCUUGCGACAUCUGAGUAUUCAUGCCUCCUUGCAUUCCCUGAUCCAACAACAAGUGACGAUAUCAAUAUCUAUUUCAGCAGACUAGUAUAAUAAACAGAUAGUACUCUAGAGAUCUGAGAUUCACACCAUUGGUCCAGGUAUCUGAUGAGUCAUAGGCAUUGAGGAAGGUGGCAUGUGAGGAGGCAUUUGCAUAGGCCGGGGAUGAUGAGGACGCAAUGGCAUAUGAGACGCUGGUGGUCGCUGAAGAUGAGGCAUGUUGGGCAUUGGAGGGAUUUGCUGAGGAUGAUGACCUUGGUGGUGGUGUUGUUGCUGAUACCCUUGCUGCUGGCUAUUUCCAAUAAGCGAUGGGUGGGGACCAGGUGGCAGCGGAGGAGCCAUACCGCCUGGAAGAGGUUGAUUAUGUUCCCCUUGUGAGGAUGCAUCAAAUGGCAUUGCUAUCCCGAUUCCAGGGAUGGUCCCCUCAUUCCGGGUCAGUCCAGGAACAAAUGCUCCAGGAGUUGGCGAUGCCUCGGAUGGUUGGAAACUAUCAGGCAGGCGAUUG
rnacentral:lncRNA from 1 species